rnacentral:rRNA from 1 species
GCAAUCUAAAUUUAAUCUUAUAAAUUUGAAUAUCAAUAUAUAUAGUGUUAAGAACAAAUUUUAAAGUACAGAAAUGGAAAUUGAAAAAUUAAAAAGUAAUGAUUUAGUCAUGUACCUUUUGCAUAAUGGUUUUACAAGAUAUUUAUUUAAUUUAUAAUCCCGAAUUCUAUGAGAGCUAUUAUUAAAUUGUUUAGAACCAUAUCUACUAGUUGUUUCAUUAACUUUAGAAAAUUUAAUAAUAGAGGCUACAUACCACCCGCUCAAGAAUAUAUCUGGUUUCUAAAAAAUUUUAUUGAUUAAAUCAUGCAAUUUAAAUGUAGUUGUAGUGUAAAAUAGGGGAGGAUAAGCCCCCCUAUUAAAAACAACUUGAUUUUACAAUAACUUAUAGGCUUAAGAUCAGCCAUUUAAAGUGCUUUAUCGCAAAACUUAUUAAAUAAUUUUGUUAACAGUGUUUUUUAUAUUUAGAAAUUUUAAAAAAUAAUUUUAUUAAAAUUUUUUAUGUAAAUAUAAGUAUUAUAUUAACUUAUUAAUGUUUAUUAUAUUAAUAAUAAAAAAAGGAACUAGGCAAAAAUUCAUUUCGACUGUUUAACAAAAACAUUGCUCUUUGACUAUAAAUAGAGAGUAUUUCCUGCCCAGUGAUAAUAUAAUUAUUAAACGGCCGCGGUAUCCUAACCGUGCAAAGGUAGCAUAAUCACUUGCUCAUUAAUUGUGGGCUAGAAUGAAUGGACUAACGAAAAUUGAACCUGUCUCUUUUUACUAAAUAAAAAUUAAUUUUUAAGUGAAGAAGCUUAAAUAGAUUCGAAAGACAAGAAGACCCUAUAGAGCUUUAUUUUUAAAAAUGUAGUAUAUUUUUAUAUAGUUUGGUUGGGGCGACCCGGGGUUAAGUUUAUCACCCCGAUAUAAAAAGAUUUAUUUAUCUAAUUUAUUGAUCCUAAAAUUUAGAUCAUUAGAAUAAGCUACCUUAGGGAUAACAGGCUAAUCUUAUUUAAAAGUUCUUAUUAAAAAUAGGGUUUGGCACCUCGAUGUUGGCUUAGGGAUUCUUAAUGACGCAAAAGUUAUAGAAGAGGGUUUGUUCAACCUUUAAUUCCCUACAUGAGCUGAGUUCAGACCGGCGUAAGCCAGGUUAGUUUCUAUCUUCGAAUUCUUAUUAAAAUCCGUUUACAGUACGAAAGGACCUAAAUUCGGGUAAUUUAUACUAAAAGUUUGCAUAAAUAUACUAAAAAAAAAAAAAUAAAGAUUUAUA